CGCCCCGCCCUGCCCCGAAUCCUCGAUCACCGCGGCAGAACACCGGCGAUAUGGAAGUAUUGCACUGCCCCGCUCCACCCCGUGGCCGACGACGGACGGCCGUGCCGCGCAGCUUCUCCGCGCCGCCACCAGCGACGGCCGACAGACAGUGACCUAGAAGUUAGGCUACACUGAAUCUGUGCUAAGUUUAUAAGCACUGAGGGUGUUGAAGACAAAGAUGCUGAAGAACGUCUUGAGCCAGUCAUGGAGGAAGGGGGCACAUGUGCUACGGGAAGGGCAUCCAGCUAAAGCACUAUAUGCUUGUUCAAGUCGAUUUCACAGCGGGCAGUGUUGUUUGGCCGGAAUCGGAGAUGAACAUGGGUAGUUGGUAGUAAUAGCAGGAAGAUAUUCCUUACUUAUUUUUUUCUUUCAAAAUGCCUUCUAAACAUAAAUGCUGCCAUGGUAACUUCUUAGAUGGCAGGUCACUUAUCUUGUUUUUUCAUGAUGUUGCAGUGUUGUUUGGCCGGAAUCGGAGACGAACAUGGCGGAGGCGAGCAGCAAGGAGAAGCAGCCCCUAGGUGCUCCUGGGCAGGAGGAAGAGGAUCGAGCGGAGCGCGAUCUAGGGAUCAUGGAGUGAACCUAGAGGAAUAUUGUGUGCGGAGGAGCACGUCGGAGCAAAAUUGUAAUAUGAGCAAAAUUGUAAUUACUGUUCAGUUUAAAUACAAUUAUGUAGAGAAACUUUGGAUCGUAUAUAAUAAAGAGCGUAUAGAAUAAUUAGUGAA